UACGUAGGGUGCAAGCGUUUGUCCGGAAUUAUUGGGCGUAAAGAGCUCGUAGGCGGUCUGUCGCGUCGGCUGUGAAAACCUGGGGCUUAACUCCGGGCCUGCAGCCGAUACGGGCAGACUAGAGUUCGGCAGGGGAGACUGGAAUUCCUGGUGUAGCGGUGAAAUGCGCAGAUAUCAGGAGGAACACCGGUGGCGAAGGCGGGUCUCUGGGCCGUAACUGACGCUGAGGAGCGAAAGCAUGGGGAGCGAACAGG
rnacentral:rRNA from 1 species